CCCACCGCUAUCGGGGUGAGACUUAGGCAUGUUAGUCGUACGCCUCCCGGCCGUCGGGGGAGGAGUGGCGUACGGCUCAGUAACACGUGGCUAACCUACCCUUAGGACGGGGAAAACCCCGGGAAACUGGGGCUAAUACCCGAUAGGUGAGGAGGCCUGGAAUGGUUCCUAGUCGAAAAGGCGUUGAAACCAUGCUUUUCGACGUCGCCUAAGGAUGGGGCCGCGCCCGAUCAGGUUGUUGGUGGGGUAACGGCUCACCAAGCCUAUAACCGGUACGGGCCGUGAGAGCGGGAGCCCGGAGAUGGGCACUGAGACAAGGGCCCAGGCCCUACGGGGCGCAGCAGUCGCGAAAACUCCGCAAUUCACGAAAGUGUGACGGGGCCAUCCCGAGUGCCAUCCGCUGAGGAUAGCUUUUCCCUAGUGUACAAAGCUGGGGGAAUAAGGAGAGGGCAAGCCUGGUGUCAGCCGCCGCGGUAAUACCAGCUCUCCGAGUGGUGGGGAUGCUUAUUGGGCCUAAAGCAUUCGUAGCCGGCUGGGCAAGUCCUCCGUUAAAUCCAACGAUUCAAUCGUUGGGCUGCGGGGGAUACUGUCUGGCUAGGGGGCGGGAGAGGUCGACGGUAUUCUCGGGGUAGGGGUGAAAUCCUAUAAUCCCGGGAGGACCACCAGUGGCGAAGGCUGUCGACUAGAACGCGCCCGACGGUGAGGGAUGAAAGCUGGGGUAGCGAACCGGAUUAGAUACCCGGGUAGUCCCAGCUGUAAACGAUGCAGGCUAGGUGUUGGCGCGGCUACGUGCCGCUCCAGUGCCGCAGGGAAACUCAUAAGCCCGCCGCCUGGGAAGUACGGUCGCAAGGCUGAAACUUAA
rnacentral:rRNA from 1 species